rnacentral:rRNA from 1 species
UACAGAGAGUGCGAACGUUGUUCGGAAUCACUGGGCUUAAAGCGCACGUAGGCGGCAUCGUAAGUGUCGGGUGAAAUCCCACGGCUCACCCGUGGAACUGCCCGGCAGACUGCGAUGCUCGAGUGUGGUAGGGGAGAACGGAACUCCUGGUGGAGCGGUGAAAUGCUUAGAUAUCGGGAGGAACACCAGUGGCGAAGGCGGUGCUCUGGGCCGGAACUGACGCUGAGGAGCGAAAGCGUGGGUAGCAAACAGG